rnacentral:rRNA from 1 species
AAUGAACGCUGGCGGCAUGCCUAACACAUGCAAGUCGAACGAAGGCUUCGGCCUUAGUGGCGCACGGGUGCGUAACGCGUGGGAAUCUGCCCUCAGGUUCGGAAUAACAGCGAGAAAUUGCUGCUAAUACCGGAUGAUAUCGCGAGAUCAAAGAUUUAUCGCCUGAGGAUGAGCCCGCGUGGGAUUAGCUAGUUGGUGUGGUAAAGGCGCACCAAGGCGACGAUCCUUAGCUGGUCUGAGAGGAUGAUCAGCCACACUGGGACUGAGACACGGCCCAGACUCCUACUGGAGGCAGCAGUGGGGAAUAUUGGACAAUGGGCGAAAGCCUGAUCCAGCAAUGCCGCGUGAGUGAUGAAGGCCUUAGGGUUGUAAAGCUCUUUUACCCGGGAUGAUAAUGACAGUACCGGGAGAAUAAGCUCCGGCUAACUCCGUGCCAGCCGCCGCGGUAA